rnacentral:tRNA from 1 species
GGAAAUGUGCCUGAACUUCAAGGAUUACUUUGAUAGAGUAAAACAUAGAGGUUAAAACCCUCUCAUUUCCU